CUUAUACUAGCUCAGUCGGUAGAGCGUGAGACUCUUAAUCUCAAGGUUGUAGCCUUCUCACUAGUAGGGCAUGAGA
rnacentral:tRNA from 1 species